AUUGAACGCUGGCGGCAGGCUUAACACAUGCAAGUCGAGCGGGGAAAGGUAGCCUGCUACCUGACCUAGCGGCGGACGGGUGAGUAAUGCUUAGGAAUCUGCCUAUUAGUGGGGGACAACAUCUCGAAAGGGAUGCUAAUACCGCAUACGCCCUACGGGAGAAAGCAGGGGACCUUCGGGCCUUGCGCUAAUAGAUGAGCCUAAGUCGGAUUAGCUAGUUGGUGGGGUAAAGGCCUACCAAGGCGACGAUCUGUAGCGGGUCUGAGAGGAUGAUCCGCCACACUGGGACUGAGACACGGCCCAGACUCCUACGGAAGGCAGCAGUGGGGAAUAUUGGACAAUGGGGGGAACCCUGAUCCAGCCAUGCCGCGUGUGUGAAGAAGGCCUUUUGGUUGUAAAGCACUUUAAGCGAGGAGGAGGCUACCGAGAUUAAUACUCUUGGAUAGUGGACGUUACUCGCAGAAUAAGCACCGGCUAACUCUGUGCCAGCAGCCGCCGUAACAC
rnacentral:rRNA from 1 species